AUGGAUUUCUUGGAGUCCAAAAAAUUUAUGGUUCUUCUCUGGAAGAAUUUUAUUUUAAAGAGGCGGCGAUGUAUUGCUUUAGUUGUGGAAAUGGUCCUCACAUUUCUGUUUAGUGCUGUACUUUUGGCAACACGCUCUGUUAUUGUUAUAAAGAAGAAUGGACCUUUCGAUUUUGCUGCUCAGCCUGUCGACGAAGUGCCUUCCUACAUCACAGCUUCCUUAAUUUCUCCUUCUCCUUUGGAAUUGGCUUACGUGCCUUCCAGAAGUACUGUGGUGCAGGGUAUUAUUGAAAAGGUGAAAAUGGAUUUAAACCCCCAAAUGAAAGGAGUACCAGCUCAUGAUAGGAGUCAGUAAUUGGAUGCUCUGGGCGGCCUAUUUCUUCACGUUCCUCUCUUUGUAUUUUAUUAUCAUCAGUUUUACGUGCAUAAUUUUCUUUGUCAAGGAACCUGCACCAGUCAUCCAAAGCAGUGACCCAACGCUUAUCUUUAUCUUUUUGCUGUUUUAUGCCAUCACCACAAUAUGCUUCAGCUUUAUGGUUAGCACGUUCUUCAAUAGA
rnacentral:sRNA from 1 species